GUCUACGGCCAUACCACCAUGAACACGCCCGAUCUUGUCUGAUCUCAGAAGCUAAGCAGGGUCAGGCCUGGUUAGUACUUGGAUGGGAGAAAAUCUUCACUGUCAUAAAUAGGAAAUACCUGUUUGGUUGAAGAAG
ensembl:rRNA 5S_rRNA 5S ribosomal RNA